AUUGAACGCUGGCGGCAUGCCUUACACAUGCAAGUCGAACGGCAGCACGGGUGCUUGCCCCUGGUGGCGAGUGGCGAACGGGUGAGUAAUACAUCGGAACAUGUCCUGUAGUGGGGGAUAGCCCGUCGAAAGCCGGAUUAAUACCGCAUACGAUCCACGGAUGGCAGCGGGGGACCUUCGGGCCUCGCGCUAUAGGGUUGGCCGAUGGCUGAUUAGCUAGUUGGUGGGGUAAAGGCCUACCAAGGCGACGAUCAGUAGCUGGUCUGAGAGGACGACCAGCCACACUGGGACUGAGACACGGCCCAGACUCCUACGGGAGGCAGCAGUGGGGAAUUUUGGACAAUGGGCGAAAGCCUGAUCCAGCAAUGCCGCGUGUGUGAAGAAGGCCUUCGGGUUGUAAAGCACUUUUGUCCGGAAAGAAAUCCUUGACUCUAAUACAGUCGGGGGAUGACGGUACCGGAAGAAUAAGCACCGGCUAACUACGUG
rnacentral:rRNA from 1 species